rnacentral:rRNA from 1 species
UACGUAGGGACCGAGCGUUGUCCGGAGUUACUGGGCGUAAAGGGCGCGCAGGCGGCCGACCGCGUCGGGUGUGAAAGCCCUCCGCUCAACGGAGGAGAGUCGCUCGAAACGGGUCGGCUGGAGGCAGGGAGAGGUCGGUGGAAUUCCCGGUGUAGUGGUGAUAUGCGUAGAGAUCGGGAGGAACACCAGUGGCGAAGGCGGCCGACUGGACCUGUCCUGACGCUGAGGCGCGAAGGCGUGGGGAGCGAACGGG